CCUUCCCCGCCCCUCCUCCCUUCCUCCCCGGCGUGGGCUCUCGCAGGCAGCCGGCAGCUCGGGGCAUCAAAGCUGGGGGAGGAAGAAGAGCGCGGCCACGUCCCACCCCUCCCUUCCUGCAAAUCCCCGCUCGCACUGCAAACAAUCUGCCUUCCCCAUUGCAUCCAAGGGAGAUAGCAACAGCAACAUCAUCACGGCAAGCCGGAUGGGAGAGCGGAGAGGAGGCUGCUGCUGAGGGAGGAAGGCACACACGCACACACCAGCUCGAUGUUGCCAAAGCGGUAG